CCUACGGGAGGCAGCAGUGGGGAAUUUUGGACAAUGGGGGCAAGCCUGAUCCAGCACAUGCCGCGUGCAGGAAGAAGGCCUUCGGGUUGUAAACUGCUUUUGUCAGGGAGGAAAUACUCUGGGUUAAUACCUCGGGGUGAUGACGGUACCUGAAGAAUAAG
rnacentral:rRNA from 1 species